rnacentral:rRNA from 1 species
AUUGAACGCUGGCGGCAGGCCUAACACAUGCAAGUCGAGCGGAUGAAUGGAGCUUGCUCCUGGAUUCAGCGGCGGACGGGUGAGUAAUGCCUAGGAAUCUGCCUGGUAGUGGGGGAUAACGUCCGGAAACGGGCGCUAAUACCGCAUACGUCCUGAGGUAGAAAGUGGGGGAUCUUCGGACCUCACGCUAUCAGAUGAGCCUAGGUCGGAUUAGCUAGUUGGUGGGGUAAAGGCCUACCAAGGCGACGAUCCGUAACUGGUCUGAGAGGAUGAUCAGUCACACGGGAACUGAGACACGGUCCAGACUCCUACGGGAGGAAGCAGUGGGGAAUAUUGGACGAUGGGCGAAAGCCUAAUCCAGCCAUGCCGCGUGUGUGAAGAAGGUCUUCGGAUUGUAAAGCACUUUAAGUUGGGAGGAAGGGAAGUAAGUUAAUACCUUGCUGUUUUGACGUUACCAACAGAAUAAGCACCGGCUAACUUCGUG